CACAAUGUCAACUGGGAGGACAGGAGGAAAUGUGAUGUCUGCCAGUGAGUAGGCAAGGCUGAGCAGUCACCAUGAGCACGAAGGCAAGCGGGAGCUGGCUUGACCCUGUCCAUCUGAGCACUAUUCAUCUCAGCUCAGGGAGGCCCAGACGGACAGACCCUGGUUUUGAGAAGGGGCCCCAAGAGGUCUUCUACUUCUUUGGCAGCACUGUGUUGAUGGCUGCAGGCUUUGCUGUGAGCUCCCAGCAGACAUGAUCAUCUCUGAGCUCCUUCUACUUCUGGGCUGCCUCCAGAACCCAUCGUAAUGGGGCAAGAUGGGGGAGUGGGUUCCACACUGCCAUGAAACGUGUCCCUGUAGGAGCCAGGGCUUUUGAUCAGAUCAGUGUGUGAGCUUCACACAGACACAGAGGAGGAAUCCCACUGAGCUCCUGUACCUCCAUGCCAAGGUCAGGGACCAGGCGGGGAUGCAUGGUUGGUUGCUGGCUCUGUGAUCCUUAGCCAGGGCGAAACACUUUGAAUCUCUGUCAGUCUUGAGCCAGGGGUAAGAUGGCAAAGGUAAGAAAGCUCCUCUGUGCUGGGUGACCCGACUUGUGGGCUCCCGACAUACAUCUGCUUUGCUUUCGGGCACACACACGUGCACCUCUGUGGGGUGGGGUUGGCUUGGGAAACAUGGCUUGCCUGGCUUCCUUGGAUGGUGAUGCUGUAGCUUAAGUCUGUCAUGCUGCCCUGACACUCUCCCCCUCCCCUCCCCCUCCCUCCCCUCCUCCUCUUCCCUUCCCCUCCUCUCCUUCUCCCCCUCCCACUCCCCCCUCCCCUUCCCCUUUCCCUGUGACUUGCCCGGAUCCUGUACAGAAGGAUCCCGAAGACCCUUUCUAUUCCUGCAGAGCACAUCCCAUUCCCUGUGGCCACCAGCUUCUUUCUCAGACGACAGCCAUUUUCAAGUGCUAGCAGGUGUUCCUCAUGUUGCUCUUCCUACUUCUGAAGGCUCAGAGUCUGUCGGGAGUGGCUCAAGUCAUCCCAGGACGGCGAAUGGAUGUACUCCACAAAGAACUCUGCCACUGGUAUGAUGUCUGCGAUCAUACUAGGGCCACAGGACAUCUGAGAUGUGCGGCCAGUCUGCUGUAAGCAGAGCACCCCUGUGACCCAGACUUUGAAAUCCACACUGAGUCCCAGAUCUGCUUAUUAAAGUCCUGGGGCAGGGGACAACUCAAGAACUAGGACCAAAGGUGAGGAGAGGGCCAAGUGGGAGGCACCGACCAGAAAUGAGUGGCUGAUAUCCAUGGUGUGCCUAGGAUACCCUGAGACAAGACUGAUCGGAAGGAGAAAUCCCUGGAAGAUCCACACAGAAAGGGUAGCUUCUGUUUGGGGAGUGCAAAGGGCUACCAUAGAGAUCCCUGAACAACACAUAUUGGGAAUGGUUGUGGCCUGUCAGCCUCAGUUGCUCGGAAAGAGGGCUUCCAGCUUUGCUUUGCUUUCCAGGGUUGUUCAUUUCUGCAUGGAUGAUGGGUGCCCUGGUAUUUGGAACAGAGCUUGGCGCUGUCUGGGCACCCAGUACAUGUUUCUGUGGAGAUGAAAUGAAUGAACCCAUGCCAGCAGAGAAUCUGUCCUUGGACAUUGUGAAUCGACUUCUGUCUAUGUCCCAGGAGGCUGGCCGGACUUUAGUAGCUCAUACAGUCUUAGCUCACUGGGGAAACAUCUGGGUUAGAUGCCAGGAAAAGAGGUGCUGUCCAUCUGCUUUGUCACCCUGGGCAGGACGUACAGGCUGCCAAGGUGCUUUUGUGUGUUGGAGGUGGCAUGGGAUUGUCACUCACAGAACGCUGUCAGCGUUUGGCUCCAGCCUUGACAAGCGGUACAGGAAACACUCGUGAAAUGGGUUUGUUCAUUUACCACGCCAAGGCCAUUUCUCUCCCUUCCCGGGGAAUAGGAGACCCAGGAGGAUCCACAACCUAUGGCUGUCUUGACCUCUCUAGAGGGCAGUCGCUUGCUCCCAGACUCCUGAGCUUCUCCGGCAAGGCGGUUGCAGCCUGGCUCGACUGCCGUGACAACAGAUAGGUCCUUGGAAAGCUGGGGGGUGGGGUGGGGUGCAGCCAUUCUUGCCUGGCACUGUGAGUGAGGGAUUGAGAACAGUCAGGAAGCCCCUGCGCUCUGCCUGGGCUGGGCUGGCACUGGAGUUAAGCAGGGCGGUGGCAGGCAUCUUCUGCCUCUUCCACAGGUAAGCCUGCCUAUGGCUUUUCCCUCUUCACCUUCCAGGUUUGCUUUAUUGACCUGGAGCUUGCCAAGAAGGGAGGAAUCUUGACAUACGGAUGUGCUGGCUCAACAGUCUCUUGGUGUCAGGGAAUAAAUCAGCCCUGAUUGGCCUCUCUCGCAGCCGAUGUAGACAAACAACCAAGCAGUUCAAUUUUAGCAUUUUCAACAACAGACUCCAACACGAAGCUCUCACCUGGUGCCAGGCCCCAGUUGACAGUGUACACCAGGAAGUCCCAGUGAGACCAGAGUACUUUCUCUGGGGGCUGCAGGUAAGAGUUCUGCACAAAGAGCGUGGUAUGACAGCAGCUAGAGCAUCAGGUCCUGGGGGUCAAAUAUGAUGCUCUGAGGUUCCAGAGGUCAAAGGUGAAAUCUAAAAAGGUACGAAGAAGACUCCACUGUCUGCUCGCUGGAGCUGCAGACUGAAGUCUGGCGCCUUCAUGGGCUGUGGAAACUGGUGACUUGUUCAGCCAGAAGAUAGAGGAGUGUGUGGCCUUGACAGGGUAGCAAUCUGUGGGCCACAUGGAGGAGGAUUCAUCGUGGCAAGGAAUGUAUUGGGCCUGGUGGAAUGUGACUCCUCCCUGUACAGCUGUUCCACCCUGAGCAGGUCACCUGCCAUGUCUGUGUCCCAGCAUCUCUCGGUCUGAGGAUGUAUGAUGGGAUGGAACACAUGUGUGUGCUACUCUGUCUAGUCACCGUGCUGAGAUCAUCCUCCUCAGGAAAUGGGCAUGUGGAGAAGGGGACAGAUGCCUUUAGAUGGAGGAGACAUCGCUGGUCUGAUUGACACUCUGAAAGCGUGGUACAGAAUGUGUGAACAUGCAUAUGAGUACAUGUAAACAUGUAAGAACAUGCGUCAACAUACAUGAACGUGAUGUGAGUGUUGUGAGCCUGUGUGCAUGUACAGCUUGCUGCGUGGUGCAGUUGGUUGAGUGGUUCGGAACCUCUAGCUCUACAAGCACCUGAAGCUCUACACUGCAUUCAAGAUUCUGGAAUUUUCCACUGACAUGGUAAGGGGUGGUACCCUAGAGCCUUGUACUGAGCCUAGGCAGAACCGAAGACUGCUAAGUGCCAGUUACUCAGUCCUCAGAGACUCUGCUGCAGGUUCCCUGGCUGUCCCCACACAGAGGGGAGGCUCAAUACUGAGAGACAGUCAUGUGCUCAAGGGCUGUGUGGUGCAGGUGGGUAGACUUUGCGGACUGGAACCACUGGGUCAACUUUUAUCAACACUGUGACUAAAUACUUAAAGAAUUAUGUAUUUUGCUCAUACAUUCAGAAGGUUCAGUCCACAGCCACAUGCUCUUGUCUAGAACAUCAUGACGGCUUUGUGACAUGCUCCACACCAUGCUCUUGUCUAGGACAUCAUGAUGGCAGGAGGCUAUGACAGAUGCCAGUUAUUCAACCAUGACAGAAAGUAGAGAGGGAGCUACGGGAGGUGCAAGGAGCAGGGCUGCAGGCCACUCCCCUGAUGACAUGUCUCCCGUAGCUAGGCCUCACCCACCUUCCCCUGUCUGCCAAUACCACCAGUAUGAUGUUCUGACUCUAGCAAGGGAUUGUCCCUUUGGUUAGAGAUCCUGUGGUCUCUGGUAACGUCCUCACAGGCCCGGCUAUGAGUGUGCUUCUCUGAUCUAGGGGGGUCUCAAUCCAGUCAAAGAGACACUGAAGCCUGCCGUCCACACUCUCACUAAUCUACAGUGUGAUGGUCAGUUUUGAUUGUCAACUCAACACUAACAUCACCUGGGAAGAGAGGCCAGUGACGAUUUACCUAGACCAGGCUGCUCUGCGGAAUGUCCUCUUGACUACACUAAUUGAGAGGACUCAACCCACUGUGGUUGUCAGCUCUUCCAGGGCUCGGAGCCUGAGCUAUGCAGGAAUAGAGAAAAGCAAAAUCAGUCAGGCAUCCAUUUUCUCUCUGCUGUUGCCUGCGGCUGUGACUUGCUGCUUCACGUUCCCGCCUUGACUUUUUCCCUCUAAGUUGCUUCCUGUCAGGGUGUUUCGUCAUAGCAACAGAAAUGAAGGUAGGGUGUGGAGCUUCCGCAACAUUCCCAGGAACCUGCCUCCGUGACUGCCUAAGCCAAGAGGCUGUCGGCUGAGCCCCUGGCUUUGUGAAGUGUUCCACAGCACUGCAGGGCAGCGGGCGACAGCCGCAUCUGAGGCCAGGAUGAAUACGCAGAGUGAUGUGACGCUCCAGGUGGCUGUGCCAAAAUUAAAAUCUGCCUGCACAUAAGACGGUGCUCUUCAAGGGUUCGGAAAAAUCAAUCCUACCUCAGCUAGAAAUGACGGUUAAAGCACACUGGAUAUGCGUUAUCAAUACUGUGCCUACUUCCGGGAUGGCAGCGAAGCUAUUCAUAUCUUCACUUAAAGCCUGUAAUUCUUUCUGUACAGACACCUCUGGAACUCAAGUCAAUUCAUUAACAAUGCAUGGAAUGCAUUUACAGGCAGGCUUUCUGCCGGUUUAUGAAGUGAGUGUAAGGUAGGCUCUUCUCACAUGGGACCGGCACGGACUGUGGCCCCUUUCUGCAAUGAAGUCUAGACUCCAGCUGUUUGGAAGAUGGCAGGCCAGCUAUUCGGGGAGUGACCCAUGUGAUCUCACAGGGCGCCGCACUUAGGAAAGCCCUAUGCUGGGCUCUGUGCUUAACAGGUAUGGCUCAGGGAUUCUUAGUGUUGUAAAGAAGGAUUCCGUAGAAGACUAGGGGAAAUGGACAACCCCAUGCCUUCCACUCUACUCUAGACAGAGGCUAGCUCCUGGUCAGUUUAACACUCUUCCUCACACUGAAGUUUGUUUGCUGCUCCUAACACAGACAUCCUGCAGCACAAGCAGCAAUGGCAAACCUCAGACAGGCCAAAACUCACAGAAAACAAAAACAAAAUCACAACCUCCCCAAACUCUCCCAGCUCCCCACAAAAAAAAAAAAAAAAAAAAAAAAAAAAACCUGAGUCCCGAGGUCAGCAUCAGAGCAAGACUGAGAUAUAGAGCGGACUUGUAGUUAUGCAGGGAGUUAAACAGUGAGAUUAGUGUGCUCCUGGAAAGGCAGGUGUCAUGUCAAACAGGUAAUGGGAGCAGAGAGAGGGAGCCCCAGUGAGACUUGGAGGAUGGAAGGACAGAGAGGAUGCUGAGGACAGGGCCCUCAGCGGCAACAGAGAACUCCUACGUUGGGUCCUGAGGGGAACCAUCGAGUUUGAACUGCACACUGUAAGGCAGUAAAGGGACACAUAACAGAAUAUUCUGGAUGAACAGGAAAAUGUCAGAAGGCGUAACGUGAUGGAAAACCAAGAAGCAGUAUAAAGGACAGCAGUGGAGGGGACAUUUGAUGUCAUGGUGGCUGGGGACUUACUUGACUAACGUUAAGAAACUUGCAGGAGGUAACCACGAAAAGGAAAUCACGCAAUGAAACCAAACAGCAGCCUGUCCCUCCGCACAUCAAACACAAACUGCGGGAAACGGACUAAGGGAAAACCUUGAAAGCACACAGAGGAGGAGCCGUCACACGCGGAGAAGAGAGAGGUACACAUCCAGUAGGCUCCACAGCUGGGUAAGGAAGGGAGAGGAAGAGGACCAAGGAAAUGUAGGCGCUGAGCCUCUGCCAAAUACAAGUUCUGUAUCCAGUGUUAAAAUGAGUCCUUAAAAGUGGGGAGACAGAGGGGUUGGGGAUUUAGCUCAGCGGUAGAGCGCUUGCCUAGCGAGCGCAAGGCCCUGGGUUCGGUCCCCAGCCCCGGAAAAAAAAAAGAAAAAAAAGUGGGGAGACAGACUUCUCCAGACAAGCGAAACUCAGGGGGUUCACUGCUAGCCAAGGCGAUCUGCUACUGUCACCCUUUGUUUUCUGUUGCUCUGACUGACAGCCAAAAUAGCGUGGGGAGAAAGGACUUAUUAAAUGAUACGAGUUCAGGAGCUAGUCUACCACUGAAGGAAGUCAGGGCAGGAGCUGAAGCAGAGACCAGUGCACUCUCUCCGCCUUGCUCAGACACUUUUCUUAGACAGUUCAGGCCCGCCUGCCUAUGGACGGAGCGGGCCACAGUAGACUGGGAUCUCCUACAGCAAACCCCAGUAAUAACCGCAGGCCAACCUGAGAGAUCCAAUUCUCAAUCGAGAUUCCCUCUUCCCAUGUUGUGUCAAGUUGAAACUAAAGGCGAAUCACGGCAAUAUACCCCCUGUCAACUUAGAACAUUGGCAGAAGAUUCCUCAGAGAGAGCACAGAAUGUGUAUGAAGAAGUGGGGAGUCAGGGACAGGGAGAACAGAGUGAGCAGAAGAGGUCUGUCUCUCUCACCCUUAAGUGGUAAUGAAAGCUGAGUGUUUAAGGACAGCAGCAAUGCCGUGUGGGUGUGGUGUUUAAAGAACUGGGUUAUUAGGAACGAUGACAGUAAUGGGGAGGACAUGGGGCAGUAGCCUGAGGAGGACAUCAGGACACUAGCCUGAGGAGAGUGUGGAGCACUAGCCUGAGGAGGACAUCAGGACACUAGCCUGAGGAGAGUGUGGAGUACUAGCCUGAGGAGGACAUCAGGACACUAGCCUGAGGAGGGUGUGGAGCACUAGCCUGAGGGGAAUGUGGAGCACUAGCCUGAGGAGGAUAUCAGGACACUAGCCUGAGGAGGGUGUGGAGCACUAGCCUGAGGGGAAUGUGGAGCACUAGCCUGAGGGGAAUGUGGAGCACUAGCCUGAGGAGGGUGUGGACUAGCCUGAGGAGGACAUGGGGUACUCGACUUUAAAGGGAUCACUCUACUUUGAGUCACAAAAUGUCACCUUUAAGGUACACUAAGGGAACCAUUAAAAUAUUAUAGUAAUGGAUAGCUAGGCAUGAUGUUGUGUACAGCUAAUAUUAGCUUGCUAGAAGUUGAGACAGGAAGAUUAUGAGCUUAAGACAAGCCUAGGCUACAUGGUAAGACCUUGUCUUAAAAGAAUUGUACAUUAGGAAAGGAGAGACAAUGUAGUCACACCAAAGGUUAAAUAGAAAAUGUAGAUGGAAGGGAAGAAAAGGAUUACUGAAAACUAUAAAAACACUUUACAUGCCUGAUAGAUGGGGACACAAACAUAGUUAACAAUCACCUUCACAUUUUAUUUACUCAGGUGUGUGUGUGUGUGUGUGUGUGUGUGUGUGUGUGUGUGUGUGUGUGUAUGUGCCCAUGUAUGUGCAGUGUAAGUAGAACACAGAUGAUGGCAUUAGACUCCCUGGGAUUGGAGUUACAGAAGAUUGGGAGCCACUGUGUGGGUACUGGGGAGUGAAUCUUCAUAUCCACUAGAGUAGUUAGUGUUCUUAAACUCCGGGCCAUCUUUCCAGACCUCCAGUAGUCAUUUCUGAAGACAAAGUGUUUAAAUGCACCAAAUGAGGGGCAGUGACAACCAGAGUGGGGCUUUUAAAGCCCAACUGUAUGUCAAUGAUAGAAAUCCAAUUUAAGAACCAUUCAGAUGGCUUUAGUAAAGAGCGGGGAAAAACAGAACCACAGGAAUUUCCGUGUCAAUUCAGACAUGCAGGCGCCAGAGAACAGAUGAACAUGAGGUACAGAGAGGGUGCUGGGUGUCACCACUGCCCCAAGAAGACAGAGCAACCCAAGUCGCUGAGUUAGCAAGGAAUGAUGUGUAAUAAGUGGGGUACGACAUCCCUAAUAGAACUGCAAAGAGGAACAGAUAAACACACUCCUGUGCCUGGCCUCUUCAAAAUCUUCUCUCGGUAAUUGAUUGAUUAAGCAGGCAGGAAAUCAGUAAGGAUAUUGUUGAGCUGAAUAGCAUCAUCCAUCAAGUUGAUCUAAUUGACAUUUAGGGAAUUCUCCAUCUAAUAAGAGUGGCGAACACAUCCUCCUCAAGUGAUAUGGAUGACUCACUGAGACAGACUUCAGCCCAAGGCUCACAAUGACGCUUACAUUGUAGAAUCCACAUGGAACGAGUCCUUAGGCUGUAAAGGAACUAACAGUCACUGCAGGAAGAUCAGGGACUCUCCCUAAAUUUGGAGGGAACCCAACACUCCUUUAAAUAAUACAAGAGAAAUGAAUCUCAGGGGAACAUUAAAUUUUUUUUGAAUAAACGAAAAUAGUUUUUAAAAAGUCCAAAGCAUCAAGAUAUGCAUGGUACAGAGAAGGCAAGUGCUAAGUGGAAAUCUGCAACUGCAAACACACAUAUUGGGAAA